rnacentral:rRNA from 1 species
UGGUGGAGUGAUUUGUCUGCUUAAUUGCGAUAACGAACGAGACCUUCAUCGUUAACUAGCCCGGCUCGCCUUGGCGGGUCGCCGGCUUCUUAGCGAGACUUUUGGCUUAAGCCAAAGGAAGUUGGAGGCAAUAACA